rnacentral:RNase_P_RNA from 1 species
ACCGCCCUGCUGGUAACAGCGGGGGCAUAUGUAAACCCCAUCCGAAGCAAGACCGGAUAAAGACAAUGUGGCGGCCCGUCACGUCUUAGGUAGGUCGCUGAAACCCGUUGGCGACAGCGGGUUUAGAUAGAUGAUUACCCGACGACAUAACCCGGCUUAUCGUCUUGCUUGCGGC